rnacentral:rRNA from 1 species
UUAAUUGAAGAGUUUGAUCAUGGCUCAGAUUGAACGCUGGCGGCAGGCCUAACACAUGCAAGUCGAACGGUAGCACAGGGAGCUUGCUCUCGGGUGACGAGUGGCGGACGGGUGAGUAA